GUAGAUGUGUUUGAAGGCAGUUCUCCAUGGUGUUUCUACACAACUGUGUCAGCUUCCAUUCCAGACUGCCUCUUCUCGCACUGUGGAGCACACAGCCUCAUUCAAAACUAGAAGUGGUGUCCUUCUUGGGGGGAAAGGACGGAUUUGCUUCCAGCCCAGGAUAACAAAGAUGGUAUCUCUCUGUGGAGCAAAGUCUGGACAGACCUGCUUACAGCUCUUUAAAAGACUGGAAGUUUGCUAAACUUGGGGUUCCUCAGCUGGGUUCCCUCCGCACCUGGGACCCGGGGACAGUGGGAGCAGAUGUGAACACGGAACUCGCGCUGCCUGUCGUGCCCCUGCCAUAUGUCCUCUUUUUGGACAUUAUGUGCUGCCGCAUAGACAGAGCAUCAGGAGGUCCACGUGGCUGGGAAUUUCUAGGCAUUCGGCCUAGGAGUAUGAAGAAAGCAAUGACCGGAAGCUGGAUUUGAAGGCACCAUAAGGAAGGCGUUUCUUACAAGGUAACCCACGGAGGGAACCGUUCUCUAGCUGUCAUGACCCUGGAUACAGGUUGUAGUGGAUUGCAUUGACGGCUCCAGUUCUUCCCUGUAACCACAUUCUUGGCCAUGUGACUGUGAAGUUCUACCCUCGGAAAAGGUGGCGGUGUAUUUCCCCACUCUUCACCUUGUUUUGGCUACAUGUCCUGCUUUGGCCAACAGAAAGAAGUUGAAGGUCUACCAUUUCCAAGCCUGGGGCCUAAGAAGUCUUGUAUUAUUCUGUUCUGCCUCCUUGCACCUCUGUCAUUGCCAUAAGAAGAAAAUGCCAGGACUCCUCUUUGGGUCUCAGAAAGAGAACGAGAGGCACCUGGCACAGAACUCCCUACCCAAGUCAACUCUUUGUCAGCUGACCCCCAGCAAACACACAAGUUCAUGAACUCAAUAAACCCUAUUGUUAUGUACCACUGAUAUUUGGUGGCUGUUUGUUACACAAAGUUAUUGUAGCAAUAGGAAAUUGAUAUA